GAUGAACGCUGACAGAAUGCUUAACACAUGCAAGUCUACUUGAAUUUGGGUUUUUUAACUUAGAUUUGGGUGGCGGACGGGUGAGUAACGCGUAAAGAACUUGCCUCACAGCUAGGGACAACAUUUGGAAACGAUUGCUAAUACCUGAUAUUAUGAUUAUAAGGCAUCUUAGAAUUAUGAAAGCUAUAUGCGCUGUGAGAGAGCUUUGCGUCCCAUUAGCUAGUUGGAGAGGUAACGGCUCACCAAGGCGAUGAUGGGUAGCCGGCCUGAGAGGGUGAACGGCCACAAGGGGACUGAGACACGGCCCUUACUCCUACGGGAGGCAGCAGUGGGGAAUAUUGGACAAUGGACCAAGAGUCUGAUCCAGCAAUUCUGUGUGCACGAUGACGUUUUUCGGAAUGUAAAGUGCUUUCAGUUGGGAAGAAAAAAAUGACGGUACCAACAGAAGAAGUGACGGCUAAAUACGUG
rnacentral:rRNA from 1 species